AGAGAAGACUCUGCGGUCCCAUGCUGGUGACCCACCAAAACAUCUAUGAAAAAGAAACUCUGGAAUACAAAUCUGAGCCGCUGUGAGCCUUGUCUCCUUCAGCAUCCGCGCCGAGGGUAAGCUCUCCCUCAGCACACACCUCUUCCCUCCCUUGUAUCUGGGCGAGGGGGAUGAGGAAUUUGGGGAUUUUGUUUUUACCAUGAAGAAAAAAGCUGCUUCUCUGCCAGCAUUGCAACUUCCCCUGGAAGCAAGGAGAAGUUCAGAGCAGCGCUGGGAAUAACAAAAGCGCCAGCCUGCCUGGGCACAAAGCACACUGCCAAGGCUUCAAAACUAUAAUCAUAAACUCCGUGGCACCGCUAUAAAUAUGGAACAAACCAGCAAGUGACUCAUCUGCCGGGACGAUGUUCCUUCCCUGUGCACUGGGGGUGGGGUAGGUGGGGUGGGGGUGGGGCUAAGCUCCCCCCCUUCUCUUUUUUGAAUUACAUUUAAUUCUUCUCCAAAAAGAGUCCUCCUCGUCUGAUUUCUUUGACAGAAUACUUCUUUUAGACUCUUAGCACCAAUUUUUCUGCAGAAAACAUGUCAAACGCUCCUUAAACAUUUUGUAAAUACAAUGGUACCGGCUGAGUUUCUUCUCAGUUAAGUUCAGACUAGCCGGUAUCUCUUGCUUGGGGAAUAAAGCCCUCCUCCACCCCACCUCACACGCUCCAGAUGUUGAGGCUUCAGAAAGUCCAGAAGAGAGCGAUUUCCCUCCAGUGAGGAGGGGUCCUUGAUGCCGUGGAGGGGAUCUAGGCUCUGGUUUUCCAACCAUAUACCACGUGCGAAGCCCACCAACAAAACAGGCUCUCGGAGCUGUCAAGAGUCCCCACCAUCUGUUUCUCUGAAUCCUGGGCUGCAAAAGAGAAAAUGCUCUGGGAGUCACCUUACAGAGAAGGUCUCAUGGAGACAUUCAGAGAAUCAGCAUGCAGUAUGAACAGAGCAGGAAAAAAAAAAUCACUAAAGUCAACAGAGCUCAGACACACAGACAUUAAAUUGUACUUCAUUCUCAAGAGUUUAAAUAUAAGUAGCCCCAUCAGAGUUGUGGCUUGCAGAUCUGCCCCUGAAAGCCUAGACAUACUCACAUCCCUUGUGGCUGUCAAACAGUGGGAAAAUCUGUGUAGGCCCCCGCCUUUCCCAACCCUGACAGUUCUCCCAAGCCGCAGAGGCUCAGUGUGACAGGGGAGGCAGAUGACACAGUACUGACCCAGGUCUGGAGGAAGCUAAAAAUGAAGCCUUACCAAAUUCCACUUUGUGGUCCCUUCCUAGAUGCUGAACAUCCAUCUUACUUCAGUUGGCUUAAAGCUAAGCAGCUUGCCUGUGGUGGGUGGCUGCUGUAUAGGCCAGUGAAAAAAAUCUAGAUGCUCUUCAGUGCCGUAAGCAGGGAACGUGUAUGUGGGCUUCCUUAAGCCCUUGGAUGACGUUCCCUGAACGCUCUUUUCUCCUUGUGCCAAAGAAACAGAGUCUGGAGGCCAGGGAGGACUGACUGGUUCUAAUCGACGUCUUCUAUACUCCUGCUUUGCAUGUCUAGAUCUGUUCAUAGCCAGCAAGGCCACAGGCUUAUGCAAUGAAUCCCACACCCACCUACUGCGACCUUCCCAACAGUACAGCAGGUUGCAAGCUGCAGGGACAGAGUGAUCACUUCAACUAAAGAAUCCUGGAGUUUCUGUCACAAGGAAAUAAUGACUGCAGGGACGGACCAUUUAAGCAGAGGUUUUAAAAACGCAGAUCAGCUGAAGACUAUUGUUUGCUGUGGGCAGGACCUCUGUAUGGAAGUGGAGAGACCUGCAAUUCACCUGGGAAAGUCUAACACACAUGCAUGAUGUGCUUAAUGUCUAUGAAGCCUGGAAGCUUUGUUGGCAAACGUGUACAGAUUGGCCAAAGUGCCUGCUUGCUAAUCCUCCUCCAACAGGGAGGCGUUACCUUUCUUGGUUUGGGCCAUUAUUUGGGGCUUAACAGUUUGAAUAUCCAAUGGCUAAGACUGGCCUCCUAAUGCCUUACCCGUUCCUAUCAUGAUUUAAUUUAAAGAUAUGGUGUGUGAUCUAUGGUUUACCUGUUCCGAAAUGUGAUUGGAGAUAGCUUAUCCCCAAGCACUCAUCUCUGACAGAACUGUAAAGGUGAGGCGGGAAGAGAAGCGACAGACCUGACGCCUGGGUCUGGUGAAGCAAGAACAAUGGAGUCUAACAGAGAGCAGCUCUGAGCUGAUACUCAAGGCAAAAGGGAGCAGAUGCACGGCUGUUCCUGAAAAACUCAAGACUCAGACCCGUCUUUCAGGACAGACAUGCUCUUUGCUGGCCUUCAUCUACGAGGGGGGAGCGUCUCUUUAGGAAGAGCGAAGGUAAACUGGCUGUGGCGGUACCCCAGCAUUCGAGAGGAGAGGACGGGAUGGGAGGAGCAAGAGUUUAUGAUCAUCUUCAGCAGCAAGUUGGAGGCGAGCCCAGGCUCCAUGAAAGCCUGCAGCAAGUGAAUAUUAAACGGAACAGUGAAAGACCAGAUGUCUGAUGGCCCCAUACUGCAAGCCAUAGUAGGAAGAAGGACAUUGUCUCACUGGUCCCAAACAAGAGAGUGGCCACAGGAGGCUUUUGAAAAAACUGUCCUUAGCAAACAUUUGCCAAUAAAAGCCUUCUUUUACAUUUUU
rnacentral:lncRNA from 1 species